rnacentral:rRNA from 1 species
CCUCGGGCGGCUGCAGUGGGGAAUAUUGGACAAUGGGCGAAAGCCUGAUCCAGCCAUGCCGCGUGUGUGAAGAAGGCCUUCGGGUUGUAAAGCACUUUCAGUGGGGAAGAAAGCCUUGGGGCUAAUACCCUCGAGGAAGGACAUCACCCACAGAAGAAGCACCGGCUAACUCCGUGCCAGCAGCCGCGGUAAUACGGAGGGUGCGAGCGUUAAUCGGAAUUACUGGGCGUAAAGCGCGCGUAGGCGGUCUGAUAAGCCGGUUGUGAAAGCCCCGGGCUCAACCUGGGAACGGCAUCCGGAACUGUCAGGCUAGAGUGCAGGAGAGGAAGGUAGAAUUCCCGGUGUAGCGGUGAAAUGCGUAGAGAUCGGGAGGAAUACCAGUGGCGAAGGCGGCCUUCUGGACUGACACUGACGCUGAGGUGCGAAAGCGUGGGUAGCAAACAGGAUUAGAUACCCGAGUAGUC